AUUGAACGCUGGCGGCAAGCCUAACACAUGCAAGUCGAACGAGUGGCGGACGGGUGAGUAAUGUCUGGGAAACUGCCUGAUGGAGGGGGAUAACUACUGGAAACGGUAGCUCAUACCGCAUACCCUCGGAUGUGCACAGAUGGGAUUAGCUAGUAGGGGGGGUAAAGGCUCACCUAGGCGACGAUCCCUAGCUGGUCUGAGAGGAUGACCAGCCACACUGGAACUGAGACACGGUCCAGACGCCUACGGGAGGCAGCAGUGGGGAAUAUUGCACAAUGGGCGCAAGCCGGAUGCAGCCAUGCCGCGUGUAUGAAGAAGGCCGUCGGGUUGUAAAGUACUGUCAGUGGGGAGGCGUUACCCGCAGAAGAAGCACCGGCUAACUCCGUGCCAGCAGCCGCGGUAAUUC
rnacentral:rRNA from 1 species